rnacentral:rRNA from 1 species
UACGUAGGGGGCAAGCGUUGUCCGGAAUUAUUGGGCGUAAAGAGCUCGUAGGCGGUUCAGUAAGUCGGGUGUGAAAACUCUGGGCUUAACCCAGAGACGCCACCCGAUACUGCUGUGACUUGAGUACGGUAGGGGAGCAGGGAAUUCCUGGUGUAGCGGUGAAAUGCGCAGAUAUCAGGAGGAACACCGGUGGCGAAGGCGCUGCUCUGGGCCGAAACUGACGCUGAGGAGCGAAAGCGUGGGUAGCAAACAGG